CUCAUUACCACGAAAUGAAGUGGCAUCAAAGACAAGUGCGUGUAUUUAUAUGGGCACCUUCAAUAGUAAUAUGGAUCGAAAUGUCCCGUUGCUCUCCUAUUAUACGUUGUGUUCAACAGCUUAGUCAUCCAUGCAAUACAAGUUAUUAUUGCCCAUUAGUGUGUAGCAGUUAUGAAUUUCUAAACCAAAGCGAUACAUGAAGAAAACGCUUGCGUACGAAAAAUAUCGUCGAGACAAAAUCAGCAGCAGUAGACAGGACCUACUCCAACGGCGGCACAUGGCGAACAGAGAAGGACCCCGCAACCCACUUCUACGCAUCGAAUUCUGCCGAAGAACGGGAACGAGCAGGACCAUGUCUGGGCACGAACGUCGCCGCAGGGACAUCUUCGAGCGACACACUUAUAUUCAUCAAGGUAACGGAACAGAAACCAUAUCAAAGCACAAUAAUGCGGGGCCGCCCGCACCGGGUAGCCCCUUGGUGAAGGCGCAUCAGCUGGAGGGAGCAGUCGUCUCGGGGGAGCGUCAUUUGCGCAGAGAGUGAAGUUGUGAAAUAGUUCGACCCGAACCUGUCACGAAUCGAGCGCCGCGAUUUCGAUUGGGUGGCGAUUUUUGGGUUGUUAUUUCGUGCCGCCACCAAGUGAUACAAACAAUAAUAGAAGAGCCUGAUACAUUGCUGGUAUCGGCAUGGAAAAGAUUUUGACAAUAGCAAUUAUUAUUAUUAGUUGAGAAACUAAAAAGCUUGACUUGUACAUCUAUAGUAGCGAUCUGUAUAAAUACGCAACCAGUCGAAGGGCAGAGAGGAACUUUUUAACCAAAUCCUAUCCUCAAAAAAGACUAAAGAAAACAAUAUUAGAAGCGUCUUGUGCGAUUAGAGGUUAAAACUCAACUGCCCAAGACCGAUGCCUGACUGUUACUGUCUAUAUCUAAUAAUGAACUAUUUGUCUGCCCCACGUUCAACAUACUUGUUUAGUAGCUCUUGUGUUUCUUUUUAUAAACGUAAAAAUGCUAUAGGACCGAAGCCUCUUCUCACAUUACGCAAGAGACCCUUUUCGACAAACUUCUCAACCUACCGAUCUAUAAUACUUUCCUAAUAAUGCUCGCUGAGAACUGAAUAGAUAUGGGGAACUCAUCGAUUUUGAACUCGGCAAAAUUACUCUCUAUUAGUACUAAUUGUUCCCAACAAGCGACAGAACUUAUGACCCUGACUACCCAGAACACGAUCAUCUGGAAAGAUUAUGGCAGACUUUCCAGCUGAUAAAAGGCUCCCUUCGCUAUAAAGGACCACCCCUGAGAGGCUGCCAUAAUGGACCAGUAAUCUGCUUAAGCCAUCUUGCCAAAUCCUUUCGGCACGUAUUAUGUGACAUUACAAUUCCAGUCCGCAUGGAGUAGACUUCUUUUAUUUACAGCUAUAUAAUAAGUUGCCCAAAAGAAAUAUCCCGAUCCCCGUAAGAGCUUUCAACUUUUAAAGGCAAACAAAGAAACUCACCCAAGCCCUGUAUGCAUUCAAAUAUACCAUCGAUAGGUUGAUUGACAAAGAAAUAAUUCACAACUGAUCGAUAUAUGAACCACUUAUAAACACACACAAUAAAUAAAUAUACAGCGUACUUGAAAAGUUAAUUUCGUGACCGAAAUAUUCCAUGGCGGGAAGUUCAAUUUCGACGACUCUCGUUAGGCUUAACGCCGGCAGGUUGAAUAUUAUCACUCGGACGCCGUACGAACAACUAACCACUCUGAUCGACUACUCGAUCUAUGUAAAGACCACAUGACAAUAAAGAUGGUCAAUAAAAUUUUCACUAGUUGGAUCCUAAUUUAGCUUCAUCAACUGAUUCAGACGGGUGAAUCGAGCCUGGUCUAUUAGUCUCAUUCAAGUGUCGUUCAGUAUUAGCGUUCAUCGAUACAAUCGUCUGCGAUUAACAACUAUCCAACGACUCUCAGCUAUCUCCAUAGAGGCCAUGACUUGAAACUAACCCUUACUGGCGGAUUCUUCCAUCAGUAGUGGAUUGCGUCGUAUCUGAGUGUAGUUACGCGACUGAUCGAUGAUGAACGACCAAAAUUUCUGAUGAAACCACACAAGACUGACGCUUACUACAAUCACGCUACCCGAUCGUAUCGGCAAUUCAGAGGAGGGAUAAAGUUACAAUGAGAUCCCUCAUAACGAUACAGGAUGCCUGCUAAGACGUCCUAUAAUUAGCUUUGUGCACAACGAAAGGACAUCUAUACAUACUAGUAGACUAGAGCAUUGCUCGACCUUUACUGGAAGAACUAUAUCAGGCAUUAUUGUAAACCCGCUAUUAAUUGACCGUAUAUCUGACCCUGGACCUAGUAAUAGAAACAUGUUUUGCAGGAACAUGUUGUAAGGAAGUGGACACAGAUGCAAUGUAGAUUGAAAGCUGAAGUGGAAAACGAAGCAGUGUGAAGGAAACUGCCAGAAAUCACAUAUAUACUGUAUGUCAGAGAAAAUUAAGUGCACAGGAGCUCGAACGAGCCGCACCUACGUGUUUCACAUUAUUUUCAAUAUUAUUAUUUGCUGGCCAACAGUUUCACUAGUUUAUUGAUUAUUUAUUUAGCCAUGUAGUACAUAUCCAUGGACGGCUCACCCCGGGGUUCUUCUACCGGAGAUAUACCUGUUUUUAUUAACCUGAAUUGUUUGAUUCGGUUUUCCUGUAUGAAUACAAAAGCCGACAAAGAGGCCCUUCGACGCGAUUUAAAACGUACCGUGCGCUAUAUUUAUAAAGGAAAAACAUACACAUAAUACGAUUUCCAUACCUAAGCGACCUAGUAAUGUCGUUGACCUUUUUACAGGCCGCCAGACUCAGCGAAGAAUAAUAAUCGACUAGAAUCAUUUUGUCGCGAUCGAGUGCGCUGAGUAAUGUCGUUGAUGACAGAAUCGAGAGCAGCUAUAGAGCCGUAUCCGCCGUGUCCACACAUGUACAAGGAAAGACGGCAAGCAUCUAUCGGAUACGUCUUUCGACUCAUGGCGUCGAUUUCGCUGAGUUAUCGUUCUAUGCCGAAGUAGCAGAUCUCGCUCUUCAGGCACUCACUCCAAGCUAUGAAUGAAGCUGCCCUGCGCUUCAUGUUCCCCGUUCAGAUACGAGUAUAUCUAAGGAAUAUCACUCAACGCCAAUAAACAGGCUUUUCAACGAUUCAAUUGAUGAUGAUCCUAAUUCCCCGCUCUUUAGGCCGUCUUAACCAGACCUAAGCAUCUUUUUGCGUUUUAUGGUAGCAAGGUCGUUAGCAAGCUAGCUUGUCAGCAAGGCCUCCUCUAACGACUAUCUUUCUUGGAACCCUUUCCCGCUAUGGCAUGUUCAACAGAGGUAUCUGUGCAUACCUAUAAAAGAAAUGUAAACCCGACCAGUACUGUAUAUCAACGUGAUCUUGAGGGCAACAAAAGUUAUGUAAGUUCUAUUUGCUUGUAUCCAUAAGCUAAAUAAAAGUUUCACGAAGAACACAGAUAUGUUUUCCCCGAGUGGUUUAUUUUUAAUUCUAACCAUUCCCUUAUAUUGUAUUGCAAUAUUGACUUUAUAACAGCAUCAAAUUAAGGGCCUUUCGACGAUUCUUGAUAUAUAUUACGCGUCGCUUAGGAUUUCGACCGAUAUUUAGAAACAGCAAAAAAAAAGCCAUCUAAAAGUUUCUGCGGUCUGUGUUUCGCGAUUUGUCGGGUCUGUUCUCGAGCUUCGUAGGGGGG